CGACUCUCGUCGGGAGCAGGUCGGCUCCGGCCCGGGUUCCGGCGCCGGCGGAGGCGGCGGGAGCGGGUCCGGCGGCGGCGGC
rnacentral:miRNA from 1 species